rnacentral:rRNA from 1 species
GGCCUAUUGACUAUUAUUUUAGGUUUGACCUGCCCAAUGAGUGAUUUAAUGGCUGCGGUAUCUUGACCGUACAAAGGUAGCAUAAUCAUUAGUUUUUUAAUUGGAAGCUUGUAUGAAGGGUUUGAUGAGAGAGAUUCUGUCUCUGUAAGAAUUAAUUAGAAUUUUAUUUUUGAGUAAGAAAGCUUAAAUGGUAAUAGAAGACGAGAAGACCCUAUAGAGUUUUAUAUUUGUAAAUAUAAUUUUAUUUGAAGGAUCAGAGAUUGAUUAUAUUUUAAGGUAUUUUGUUGGGGUGACAGAAAAAUUUAAUAAACUUUUUUUUUGUUUAAAACAUUUAUUUGUGGGUUUGUGAUCCUGAAUUUUGGAAUAUAAGAUUAAAUUACCUUAGGGAUAACAGCGUAAUUUUUUCUAGAGUUCUUAUCGAAUGAAAAGAUUGCGACCUCGAUGUUGGAUUAAAAUUAAUUUUUGGUGUAGGUGCUAGUAGAUUAGGUCUGUUCGACCUUUAAAAUUUUACAUGAUCUGAGUUUAAACCGGUGUGAG